ACAAAAUUGGGAAACGCACCUCCUGACCUCACUCUGCUCCUGCCCUUUCUACCAAGAGCCUCUCAUUGGCUGAACUCCGUGAGAAGCCAGAGUGAAUCUGGGAAAGGGAGCCAAGGGCAAGUCAAGCAACGGGGGAUUGCAAGAUAACAACGAUGAGAUCUCUGUUAAUGCAGAAACAAUCUAUGAGUUUGGGGAGGACUAGAGAUGAUAGUCUCCACCCAACCUGGAAAACAUGCCCAAGAAGCCCCGAUGUUCCUUCAGCCAGAAGCACGUGAAGCUGUGGUGGAGGAGGCAAGCCAUAAAGGCUGUUACAAACUUUGGCAACCAAGGGAAUUUUUUUUUAGAUCAUGUAUCAAUAGUGUUAAGUUACGUGCUAUCUCCUUACCAUUACAUUUCUCUUUAGACAACCCUUACAUAAGACUGCCCUUUACUUAGAUAUUCCUUAGAUUUCUGUGAAAGCAGCAGUGACAUUAGCAACGAUAAAAUUCCAAGGAAUCAACUGCAUGCAUGAUGUGAAGGAAAAUUCACUGAGCUGGGUGUUACUAUAAAACAUUUCAGAGAAUGUUUUAUCCAUUGGAAAGGAAGUGUGCUAGUGCUCGAAAGGUAUUUCACUUCCAACUUUCCUCAAUAUGGAAGUAUGUUUCUACACAAUGUGCCAGCGUACUCUUCUCAAGGCAUCAGCAUUGUGUUUGUUUUACUUAAAGCCUUACAAAUGUUUUCUCGUUUUGCUUAAAACCCAAGCCCCUCAUUAUGGGUUUGGAGGCCUAACACGAUCUGGCCCCUGCCUGCCUCUUCCACCUCACUUGCUCCCACCCUUCCUUGUACCAAACGCUGGCCAUGCUGAACCCCUUGGUGCUCCUCAAAUGUACCAACCUUGUUCUUGCCUCAGGGUCUUUGUGCUUUCCCUCUCCUUUGCCCCGAAGCUCUUCUUUGGACCCCUCCAUGCUGUAUAUGUAUCCAGUUGUGUAUGCAAUUCUCAUCAGCCUUUAUCCCUAAUAUUGAAUUAUGCUUUCUUCAAAGCACUCACCAUUAAGUGGAAUUUUCUUGCUUUUUAAGAUUUUUAAAAUUUUAUUUGUUCAUGACAGACACACACAGAAAGGCAGAGACAUAGGCAGACGAGG